GAUUCUUAUUUUAUAUAGUUUAAAUAAAACAUUACAUUUUCACUGUAAAAAUAAAUAAUAAUUAUUUUUUAA
rnacentral:tRNA from 1 species